UCUUAUGUACAUGCCUACAACAUUAAUGCACCGGAUCCCAUCACAACUCCGUAGUUAAGCUCGCUUGGGCUAGAGUAGUACUGGGAUGGGUGACCUCUAAGGAAGUCCUAGUGUUUUACAUGCC
rnacentral:rRNA from 1 species